UACAGAGGUUUCAAGCGUUGUUCGGAUUCAUUGGGCGUAAAGGGUGCGUAGGUGGCGCGGUAAGUCGGGUGUGAAAUUUCGGAGCUUAACUCCGAAACUGCAUUCGAUACUGCCGUGCUUGAGGACUGGAGAGGAGACUGGAAUUUACGGUGUAGCAGUGAAAUGCGUAGAGAUCGUAAGGAAGACCAGUGGCGAAGGCGGGUCUCUGGACAGUUCCUGACACUGAGGCACGAAGGCCAGGGGAGCAAACGGG
rnacentral:rRNA from 1 species